rnacentral:rRNA from 1 species
UACGAAGGGGGCUAGCGUUGUUCGGAUUUACUGGGCGUAAAGCGCACGUAGGCGGAUCGUUAAGUCGGGGGUGAAAUCCUGGAGCUCAACUCCAGAACUGCCUUCGAUACUGGCGAUCUUGAGUCCGGAAGAGGUGAGUUGGAACUCCUAGUGUAGAGGUGGAAUUCGUAGAUAUUGGGAGGAACACCGGUGGCGAAGGCGGCCCCCUGGACCGGUACUGACGCUGAGG